GACAGAGGCCUCAAGCGUUAGGCGGAAUCACUGGGCUUAAAGCGUGUGUAGGCGGGUCGUUAAGUACCUUGUGAAAUCCCCCGGCUCAACCGGGGAACGGCUGGGUAUACUGGCGAUCUUGAGCCACCUAGGGGCAGUCGGAACAAGUGGUGGAGCGGUGAAAUGCGUAGAUAUCACUUGGAACGCCAAUGGUGAAAACAGACUGCUGGGGGUGUGCUGACGCUGAGACACGAAAGCCAGGGGAGCAAACGGG
rnacentral:rRNA from 1 species